UACGGAGGAUCCAAGCGUUAUCCGGAAUCAUUGGGUUUAAAGGGUCCGUAGGCGGGUUUAUAAGUCAGCGGUGAAAGUUUUCAGCUUAACUGAAAAAUUGCCGUUGAUACUGUAAGUCUUGAAUUUUUGUGAAGUAACUAGAAUAUGUAGUGUAGCGGUGAAAUGCUUAGAUAUUACAUGGAAUACCAAUUGCGAAGGCAGGUUACUAACAAAUGAUUGACGCUGAUGGACGAAAGCGUGGGUAGCGAACAGG
rnacentral:rRNA from 1 species